rnacentral:rRNA from 1 species
UACGGAGGGUGCAAGCGUUAUCCGGAUUCACUGGGUUUAAAGGGUGCGUAGGUGGGUUGGUAAGUCAGUGGUGAAAUCUCCGAGCUUAACUUGGAAACUGCCAUUGAUACUAUCAGUCUUGAAUAUUGUGGAGGUUAGCGGAAUAUGUCAUGUAGCGGUGAAAUGCUUAGAUAUGACAUAGAACACCAAUUGCGAAGGCAGCUGGCUACGCAUAUAUUGACACUGAGGCACGAAAGCGUGGGGAUCAAACAGGG